rnacentral:rRNA from 1 species
GACGAACCGAGCGAACGUUAUUCGGAAUCACUGGGCUUAAAGGGCGCGUAGGCGGGCCAUCAAGUCAAGGGUGAAAUCCCCCGGCUCAACCGGGGAAGUGCCCCUGAUACUGAUGGCCUUGAGGGAGGUAGGGGCGUGCGGAACUUCCGGGUGGAGCGGUGAAAUGCGUAGAUAUCGGAAGGAACACCGGUGGCGAAAGCGGCGCGCUGGACCUCUUCUGACGCUGAGGCGCGAAAGCCAGGGGAGCGAACGGG